rnacentral:misc_RNA from 1 species
GAAAUGCGAUAAGUAAUGUGAAUUGCAGAAUUCCGUGAAUCAUCGAAUCUUUGAACGCACAUUGCGCCCUCUGGCAUUCCGGGGGGCAUGCCUGUCCGAGCGUCAUUACGCACCCUCAAGCCCGGCUUGUGUGAUGGGCCCCGGCGUCUCGUUCGCGAGACGGGCCCGAAAGGCAGCGGCGGCGUCGACCCGAUGAGCCCGAGCGUAUGGGGACUUCUGUCACACGUUCGCGGUGCGGACCGGCGCCUGCUUGACUUUUCUGAUUAUCCAGGUUGACCUCGGAUCGGGUAGGGAUACCCGCUGAGCUUAAGC